AGGAAAUUAUAUUUUUGGUCCUCACUUUAGAAGGGUUUCUCUGUCUUAUUUUAUUACGUUUUCUGUUUUACAUAUAUCACUUGAAGUUUAUUCCAUAGCUUAAGUGUGUGCUUUAACUUUGUGCAUCCUGACCUCACAUUCCUGAGAUGUGACCUAUGGACAGCAGCUGUCACUCAUUCCCCUACAGAGGAGGGGGAUGCUGACCUCUCGGGCACUGGCCAGCAGAAAUGGAGCCAGCACUCUAAUCUAAACCACCUGAAGAAUAGAGUAUGUCUGUGAGAACCGCUCUGGAUGUCCAGUUCUCAAGAAGAACAAAAGACUGAACUUUGACCCAGAACCUCCAUGGAUUUCCUGCUGUCAAUCUGAUUUGUUGUGGACAGGAAGGGACGGAGUUUACUGCAACACUAGGUGUCCCUUUGAAGUCAUUCCCUGAGGAGAGGAACUGGUCACGGAGAAUGACCCUCUACGAUUGGCUGAAGGAAGAGACGGAUCAUCGAUCAGCCAAUGCAAGUGUUCCAGGGCGGAGAUUCGACGUCAUGUUUUCCGCAGGAGGAGGGAAACCCGAAUUGUCUUUAAAAGUCUGAGCAGAGCAUAAUUUUAUUGUCUUCUUCUGUCUUGUGGUCUUUCAUGUAAAACGCCUGUAACUUCUUGCGUUUUGAAGGCCUUCUAAAAUGAGGACCCAGAUCUGUUUUAAUUCUGUCUUAGAACUUUUGUUAGGGAAUAAACCUUCUGUGACUUUAUCCGGCUGAAUCUUGGUCUUAUAUCUCUCCCGACUAAUAGAACAUGCGUGGAAAAAUCUCAGAGCGAAAGAUAUUUUCCUACAAACUUGGUGACCCGAAACGUGAAGUCGGGGAACGGAACACGGAUCGAGCCGGUGACGUAUUUUUCGUAUUUUUUGAGACUUUCAGUGUAAAGUCUGGGCACGCUUCCUCCCGUCCACUUGGUCGACUUCUCACGCGGCCGCAUACAAAACAGGUAAGCAGAAGCCUGCUGCAAAAUUCUGCAUAUUGAUUAAGUUAUCUCAUAGUUGAAUAACUCAAAUUGAACGAGAUCUCGAGUGAGUGGGCGGUAGAGCUUCCCCCGAAAUAAAUAAAUAAAUAGAUAAAUAAAUAGAUAAAUAGAUAAAUAAAUAAAUAAAUAGAUAAAUAAAUAGAUAAAUACAUAAAUAAAAGUUGACCCAAACUUUAAAGGGAUGGUUGACUGUUAGUUUGUGACACCUAGUGUGCAACAACAGUACAGAAAAGGUAUCCUAGGUUUAUCGGUUGUGUUUGAGGUAAUGUAUUUAAAAAUACAUAAGGUUCCGUCUGUUUGUCCUAGAGAGACGCCCAAGGCGUAAAAACAGUGUAGUAUAGGAACUAAUUUUUGCGCGUUUAGGUAAUUUGGAAGACACUAACGGGGCAGCGGCCUCGACAAAUUAUUUUUUUAGAUGGAGAGUGACCAAAGAAGGAUUCGAAAUUAACAUCAAAGGAAAAUAUGAGGUAUAUGAUGCAUUUUGUCCGGACAAAAUACGACUGGGGUGGAACAGACAAUACGACGACGGACGACGGUGACGAUUUGACUUGACAACAGCGGUGAAAAUGACUUGAAUGUGGAUGAAUGGAAUGGAAUGUAUGAGAUUUUGGAAAGAAUUGGAUGAAAAAGUGUUUGAAAUCUGUGAAUUUUAACUGUAUUUUCCACAUUUCCCUGUGUAUUGUCUGCUCUACGGACGCAGCCAUCUUGCUUAUCAUGUUUACAUCGAACGGACUAAUGACGGGACGUUUUACUUGUUUUCGAAUGUGUAAACGACUGUGAUUGGUUUCGUCUAUACCACGUGGUAAGCGUGACGGAGUCCUAGCCGAAAUUGCGUCGGCAGCUAUGAUUGGCUUUGUUAGUACCACGUGGCCGGCGAGCCGGCGUCCCCGGAAAUCGUAAUGGCGAAACACGCUAAACUUUUACAGUUAGAGUUUGGGAUCUAAUCUGCGGUAAAAUCAUGGCGGGGAUCGUCGUUAUCGAGCGUGGUCAUGACCUCGGUUGUAAGACGUCGUUUAAAAACAAAUUUCAGUGGGUUUUCAGUUCGCAGAAAAAGGUUUUUAAGUAGCGCUGCGCCUCCGACGGAAGCCUCUGUCACCACGGCGAGGAGAUGACUGCAUGCAGCAGCCGUCUCUGGUCGAACGAAAACUACUUUCUCGGGAGGUUCCCCAAAUCUUUUCAAAAACAUGGAAAGGCAGCCCAGAUAAGAGUGAAGUCCAGACCCCUCCUUAACCCUCAUAAAUCUUUAUGCAGAACAUUCUUCUGCCUAAGGGAUACAAGAGCAUGAGCAGAUGCUCACACCUCCCCCAAAAGGACCUCAGUUAGCCAGAAGGGGGCCGAGUCAGAGGUGACUGACCCUGAGGUUAAGAUAACUACUUCAAUCAUGUAAAGUAUUACUGCACAUUUGCAGGUAAUAGAAAGGAGAAAGGGAGGAGUUGAGCAGCUGAAAAAUCCACACAUGAUAAAUGGUGUUUAAAAAUAAUAACAUGAAUUUUGAGUUUUGAUGCCCUCAGAGACAGCAGAAGCGACGUGUUAUGCUCAGCCAUUCGUAAGUCGGGGACAGGAGAACAUGGUGAAAACCCUGGGACACGUGAGCCACCCAGGAGACCCUAGCAGCAUCUGGAAAUGGCAUCUGUGGCACUCCAAACCCUUGGGCAUGUGAUAGCCCACAACGAGGUACCCAACAGCAGAAUGCACAGACCCAGAGGCAGAGGGUCUGGAGGAAAAAUGAACAGUACCCACGACCACCCCAAGCCCCUCCUCCACCGUGGCGAGGACCACAGGGCAAGUCGGACAAUACCACUUGAUGAUGCAGGAGCCAUUGUCUUUUCCAAGAUGAGAGGUAACCACUGAUGACUCUAGUGGACACUACCUGCUCUGACAAAUGAACAAAUGACUCCUCAAAACCUGCAAAAGACCAUCCGACUGACUUUUGACCAGAUGGUGGAACAUUCAUGUAUGCAUUCACUAAACACGCCUGUGAAUCUGUUGGGACGGGACAGUCUUGUCAAAAACAGGAGCCAGCAGACUGGAUGCCAUGCCAGACCCCACAGCCAACCCCCACUGCAGACAACCAGAGGGCCCUGAAACGCCAGGUGGUUUCAUGGGUUUCAGGCGUGAAAGCCAUGACUCCUGUCCUCAAAGCUCUAUUUCCGCCUCCGAAUGGUCUGACCUGUACACUCUAGGAUUGACAGUACACGGUAAUAUUUCAGCAGGUAGAAGGCCACACGUGGCAUUUGAACUACACUGACAUAUAUUAGCCCUGAGGGCGAGCAGCUUAUUGUGCAUUCAUACACUCACAAAUGCAAUGAUACUAGCUGUCAGACACAGCUGUAUCCCACAUAGGAUUAGCACCCCCCUGGUCAUGAGGCUCUGCAACUCAGUCCUAUGACUAAGUGGGGCAUGAACAACACAUUGGUAGAAUUGUGUUUUUCAGGUGUUCACUUUCUUCCCUCAAUAAAAAUGUACAGGUUAACCGUUCAUCCAACGACAAAUUCCUGAGUUCUGGACCAUUUCUGUAUUGACAAACAUCGUGGCAGACAGAAGACAGCUCAUGAAGAUGCAGAGGUGCUGUUAAACACGCUCUCUGAUGCUUCAUGCUCCACAGGUUCAUUUGAUGUUGGUUCAUGUUCCACGCUUCCCUAGUGGUGCUUCAGGUAAUUGCAGGAGCACAAGUUUUUAGAUUUCAGUAAUGCUGGUGCAGGAAGCUGAUGGAGGGAUGAAGGAAACUUAGACUGGUUUGUGGAACUCUGGUGUAGCAUUCACAUUCUUCGUAGUACUUCUUUUAGACUGGUCUUGAAAGCAGAUGGUAAAAUUUAUUGCAUAGCAUAUGAUUUAAGGACUGUUAAUUAUGUCACUAUUACUCUAGUUCUACCCGUUCCUGAUCCAUAUUGCAUGUUGUCAACUUUAGCUCAACAAUGUGUGUUGUUCACUGCCAUUGAUUUAGCAAACCCUUAUUUUUGCAUUCCAUUACGUGAAAAUAGCGGACAGUUAUUCGCAUUUUAGUACAUAGGUGUUAAUAAAAUUUCCUGGCAUUUUCAGUCACUGUUUGCAGUCUCUCUGACAGGAUAUUGUGCUACUAGAGGGUAGCAGCUAGCAGCUCCGACUGUUGAAACCUGCCUGUGAGUAGUAAAAGAUCUUGUUGCAAUUGUAUGUUUGAGUUUUGAAAUGCAACAGGAAUUUGCACUUUAGCAGAAGGGAAGUCUCAUUUUUAGGCAGAACUGUUUUUAGCACAGGUUUUUCACUGUAUAUAGAGCGUAGAAUGUCUAAUUUGCAGCAUAAACAUCUGGACAUAGUUUGGACAUGUUGGUUUUCUUGUGGUUGUAGUGGACACUUCUUUGUUUUGUGAAACACAUGGACCCCUUGAGGUUGAUGAUAAAUGACGAGGGUGUGACUAACCUUAUGGCAGUAAGGCCACGACAAUACGUGGUUCCAUUUCUUUCUGUUGUUAUCUUGCCUUCCAUAGGACUGUGGACAAACCGCUUGUUCACCUUACCGGUGCACAAAACUGUUUCUAUAUUUUUACUUUCAAUUGCUCUAGUUUGUGUAUUUAUGCCUUAUCUUUGUUUAGAUCUGCAUGGUUUCACCCAACUAGUGUCCUGGGGUUCCCCCCAGGCCAAGAGAGGGUGGAAAGGAGGUAUUCAUGAUUCGUUGCAGGAAAUUGUUUUAGUAUUAUCAUGGUUUCAAUUAUCUUUGUUUCAAUUAUCAUCGUUUGAAUGUAUUUGUUUAGAAAGAAGGUUUAAAUGUUAAUUUUGAUAGACCUUUUUACCUUUUUAGAGCUUUGUGUGUCUGUUCAUCUGGUUAUCUCAUCCACAGCGAGGAUGAAGGGGUUUUACCACACUGUCCUGAGGUGAUAAGUAAUGCUGGUGGAGUUAGAAUCCACCACAUGGGUCAUUAGACGACAGCCCCUAAUAAACUUGUCUUUAUCUUGAAUUUGCAUACUCCCACCUAUGUUUUUCAUGAAAACGGCACGAGGAGAAGCAGACUAUGGAGAGGACAAAGUGGUGGACAUUUCCAUCACAUCUCUUCUGUGCAUUUUUAUUCUUGUCUUGUUUUGUCAUUGUUUUAUUUUAUUAUUGUCUUUUGUUCUUGUUUUAUUUUUUAAGUUUCUGACCCUAACCCUAAUCAAUAUUUAGAUCCACAGCAGACUCAUCUUGGGGAGACACCCCAAGCUCUUUUGCAGCCGUUCUGUUGUAUUAAAUGUGUCAGAUUGAAUAAUUACCAGGCUUAUUCAGAAGUCCAUAGGAGGCCAGGUCCAAGCUUGCCAGAGCUUGUGGGACAUGCAGGAGGAGGACACGAGUGGUUAAGGCCCUGAAUGACUUUUUGGAUUUUGUUGCAAUACUAACUAACUAACAAACUAAGAAUAUUAACUAAGAAUAUUGCUAUUCUUAUUUAUGUGGGCCAUAUGAAUUGCAGCUUCUCCGAUGGGACCACCAUGGAGGACAUGGAAGAAAUUUUCUGAAUUAGGCUUGAUGUCAUGUUUAACAUUUCUAUUUUUACUCUUUCGUUGCCUGUGUGAUUUUUGAUUCUGCCUUAAUAUGUCUCAAUUUCUCCCCUUAAUUCCAGGUGUUCUUUUCUUACAGGAAGUGUUAUUUUGAUUGUCUUUGCUCUCUUUUUAUAUUUUUAUACUUUUUAUACUAUAAUAUACAAGAAUGCUUCUGUCUGAAUGUAGGCUGAUAUGUUUUGAUUGUGUAAUGUGAUAAUGUGUUUUUAUUUUUGUGUGGCCUCACUUCAUGAGGCCAAGAGAGGGAACUGAAGGAAAUUAUAUUUUUGGUCCUCACUUUAGAAGGGUUUCUCUGUCUUAUUUUAUUACGUUUUCUGUUUUACAUAUAUCACUUGAAGUUUAUUCCAUAGCUUAAGUGUGUGCUUUAACUUUGUGCAUCCUGACCUCACAUUCCUGAGAUGUGACCUAUGGACAGCAGCUGUCACUCAUUCCCCUACAGAGGAGGGGGAUGCUGACCUCUCGGGCACUGGCCAGCAGAAAUGGAGCCAGCACUCUAAUCUAAACCACCUGAAGAAUAGAGUAUGUCUGUGAGAACCGCUCUGGAUGUCCAGUUCUCAAGAAGAACAAAAGACUGAACUUUGACCCAGAACCUCCAUGGAUUUCCUGCUGUCAAUCUGAUUUGUUGUGGACAGGAAGGGACGGAGUUUACUGCAACACUAGGUGUCCCUUUGAAGUCAUUCCCUGAGGAGAGGAACUGGUCACGGAGAAUGACCCUCUACGAUUGGCUGAAGGAAGAGACGGAUCAUCGAUCAGCCAAUGCAAGUGUUCCAGGGCGGAGAUUCGACGUCAUGUUUUCCGCAGGAGGAGGGAAACCCGAAUUGUCUUUAAAAGUCUGAGCAGAGCAUAAUUUUAUUGUCUUCUUCUGUCUUGUGGUCUUUCAUGUAAAACGCCUGUAACUUCUUGCGUUUUGAAGGCCUUCUAAAAUGAGGACCCAGAUCUGUUUUAAUUCUGUCUUAGAACUUUUGUUAGGGAAUAAACCUUCUGUGACUUUA